UACAGAGGGGGCAAGCGUUGUUCGGAAUUACUGGGCGUAAAGGGCGCGUAGGCGGCCUGCUAAGUCGAACGUGAAAUCCCCAGGCUCAACCUGGGAACUGCGUCCGAUACUGGCAGGCUUGAAUCCGGGAGAGGGAUGUGGAAUUCCAGGUGUAGCGGUGAAAUGCGUAGAUAUCUGGAGGAACACCGGUGGCGAAGGCGGCAUCCUGGACCGGUAUUGACGCUGAGGCGCGAAAGCCAGGGGAGCAAACGGG
rnacentral:rRNA from 1 species